rnacentral:rRNA from 1 species
AUGCCUGUACCAUAACCGACACAGGUGGGUAGGUAGAGUAUACUAAGGGGCGCGAGAUAACUCUCUCUAAGGAACUCGGCAAAAUGACUCCGUAACUUCGGGAGAAGGAGUGCCUUAUUUAUAAGGUUGCAAUAACAAGAUCCAAGCAACUGUUUAUCAAAAACACAGGUCUCCGCUAAGUCGUAAGACGAUGUAUGGGGGCUGACGCCUGCCCAGUGCCAGAAGGUUAAAGAAGUUGGUUAGUGUAUGCGAAGCUGAUGACUGAAGCCCUGGUGAACGGCGGCCGUAACUAUAACGGUCCUAAGGUAGCGAAAUUCCUUGUCGGGUAAGUUCCGACCCGCACGAAAGGCGUAAUGAUUUGGAUACUGUCUCGGAGAGAGGCUCGGUGAAAUAGACUUGUCUGUGAAGAUGCGGACUACCUGCACCAGGACAGAAAGACCCUAUGAAGCUUUACUGUAACUUGAAAUUGGAAUUGGACUUUGCUUGCGCAGUAUAGGUGGGAAGCGUUGAAGAUAUUCUUGCGGGAGUAUUGGAGCUAUCAGUGAGAUACCACUCUUGUAAUGUUAGAUUUCUAACUUUGAACCAUAAUCUGGUCAAAGAACAGUUUCAGGUGGGCAGUUUGACUGGGGCGGUCGCCUCCCAAAUGGUAACGGAGGCGUACAAAGGUUUCCUCUGAACGGAUAGAAAUCGUAUCUAGAGUGUAAAGGCAUAAGGAAGCUUGACUGUAAGACCUACAAGUCGAGCAGGGACGAAAGUCGGUCUUAGUGAUCUGACGGUACUGAGUGGAAAGGCCGUCACUCAACGGAUAAAAGUUACUCUAGGAUAACAGGCUGAUCUCCCCCAAGAGUUCACAUCGACGGGGAGGUUUGGCACCUCGAUGUCGGCUCAUCGCAUCCUGGGGCGGUAGUACGUCCCAAGGGUUGGGCUGUUCGCCCAUGAAAGCGGUACGCGAGCUGGGUUCAGAACGUCGUGAGACAGUUCGGUCCAUAUCCGGUGUAGGCGUUAGAAUAUUGAGAGGAGCCUUCUUUAGUACGAGAGGACCGAGAAGGACACACCGCUGGUGUACCAGUUAUCGUGCCAACGGUAAACGCUGGGUAGCUAUGUGUGGAGUGGAUAACCGCUGAAAGCAUCUAAGUGGGAAGCCCACCUCAAGAUGAUUGCUCUCACAGGGUUAACCUGGUAAGGUCACGGGAAGACCACCCGUUGAUAGGCACUCGGUGGAAGUCCAGCAAUGGAUGAAGCCAAGGUGUAC